AAGCCUUCAGAAAUAGCUGGAACUCCUUACCUUCUUUGUUACAGUGUGAAGAAAAGAAUCAUUCCCAGGGGUUUAGUUAUUAAAAUUUUGAAGUCGAAAGGUGCAUUGGAGAAGAAUAUCAGUUUCUCUACUGUGGUGGGAUUAACUGACAAAUGCUUUGUAGAAAGGUAUAUGGACAAACACAGGGAGCACAUUCCUUAUUUGCAGGAUGUCUUUGAAGGUAGGAUGUGUCCUCAAGAACUAGGCCUUCAAUAUGGCCAGUAACAUGUUAAUUUUGGUAAGUAUGGUUCUUUUUCUUCUUCCUUUCUUCAUAGCUCAUAUUACUUGUCAUAUCAAUUAUGCUAUAGCUUAACAACCAAUGGUUCCAUGCUUUCUGUUUUCAUUUUAAGUAUUAAUUAUUAUCUGCUUUAUUGCUUUUUACUUAUUGUUAGAUAACUAUUAAACCAAAUGGAACUGUAAGGUUGGAUUUGCCUCCGAACAUACUUAAAAAUCAAAUUUUUAUUUAAUCAUUUUGCAUUAGAUGAUGCCAAAAGGAAUCAAAAAUAAUUCUUUUCUUUAAUAAUAGUGACACUUUUAUUAGUUAAAGUAUUACAAAUUAUUAUUUUAAUUAUUUUUUAUUCAAGAUUGGGCUUUUUGCUCAAUUAGUGCAUGAUUUUUGAAAACCGUGCAAAAGGUUGAGUGAAUACCUUAAUUCAUGAAAACGGCCUCAAGAACAAGAAGUUUCUACAUGGCGAGUGGUAUUGAUGCAUGUCAGGUGAAAAUUUUCUAAAUUUUUAUGAUUUAUAAUCUACCCAAAUAGGAUUACUGUAUAAAAUAAUAUAAGAAUUAAAGAUUUUCUGAAAUAAUACAUUGGAAACCAUCAAAUUGGACUAGAUUAGUCCCUUGCACUAUGUCUGCUUCCAGGAAAGUUCAAUUUUUAACUCCAGAAAGACCAGAUUCUGCCCUUGCACUACUCAAGGAACAUGGUUUCACCAAUUCCCAAAUAGCUAAAAUUGUCAAGUAUCAGCCAUGGUUUCUUUUAUAUGAUUCUGAGAAAACUAUUUUUCCUAAGCUUAGUUUUUUCACUUCUAUGGGGAUUACUGGCCUAGACCUUGCAAAAUUCAUAUCUUCAAACGCAACGCUAUUACACGCUAGCUUGCCGAAUCAAAUUGUUCCUGCUUAUAAAUUCGUCAGGAGUGCUUUGCUGUUUGAUGAUGACAGUCAUUAGAGCGUUGAGAUUAUAUUCAAGGAUUCUUCUAUAUGACGUGGAAAAGAUUAGUUCUCCUAAUUUAUUUGUCUCGAGGGAAAUUGGAAUGCCACAAUCCAUUCUCAAUCAGUUAUUGAUAUAUCAUCCUUGUUUGCUGUGCGGCAAAGCUAGUAAGUUCCACAAUAAGAUCAAAGAGGUUAUGGCUCCUAAUUUAUUAGUCUUGAGGGAAAUUGGAAUGACACAAUCCCUUAUCAAUAUGUUAUUGACAUAUCAUAGUUCUUUGAUAUGCCAUAAAGUUGACAAGUUCCGGGAUAAGGUCAGAGAGGUUAUUAAUAUGGGGUUCUGCCCGACCAAAACAAAGUUCGUCCAGGCUCUUCAUGCAAUUAUCAACAUUAGUGAAUCAAAUUGGCUGCACAAGAUUGAGCUUUAUGGAAGAUAUGGUUGGUCUCAAGAUGAGAUGUUGUCAGUUUUCAAGAAACAUCCUCUUUGCAUGACUUUUUCAGAGAAGAAGAUAAUUGGUUGUAUGGAUUUUCUUGUUAAUGUGAUGGAUAUGAAGCCUUCAGAAAUAGCUGGAACUCCUUACCUUCUUUGUUACAGUGUGAAGAAAAGAAUCAUUCCCAGGGGUUUAGACUUUCAGUUUGAAGAAGAGAAUAAUUCCUAGGGGCUUAGUUAUUAAAACUUUGAUAUUUAAAGGUGUAUUGGAGAAGAAUAUCAAUUUCUAAUCUGUGUUUGUUUUAACUGACAAAUGCUUCUUGGAAAGGUAUGUGGACAAACACAAGGAGCAUAUUCCUUAUUUGUUCGGUGUCUUUGAAGGUACAGGUAGGAUGUAUUCUGAGGAGCUAGGAUUUCAAUAUGGGCACUAACAUGUUGAUUUUGGUUGGGGUGUUGUUUUUUUGUUUUUUUCUUUUUCUUCUUCUCAUGUUAUUUGUCAUAUCCAUUACCUUGAGGUUUAUGGAAGAUGUGGUUGGUUUAAAGAUGAGAUCUUGAAAGCUUUUAAAAAGAAUCCUUGAUGUAUGCAUUUCUCGGAAAAGAAAAUAAUUGGUACUGUCCAUUUUCUUGAUAAUGUGAUGGAUUUAAAGCCUUCAGCAGUAGCUGCAAAUCCAUAUCUACUUUCUUACAGUUUGAAGAAGAGAACCAUUCCUAGGCGUUUAGUUUUUAAAACUUUGAUGUUGAAAGGUGUAUUGAAGAAGAAGACCAGUUUCCGUUCUGUAUUGUUAUUAACUGACAAAUGCUUCUUAAAAAUGUAUAUAGACAAACAUCUGGAGGAUAUUCCUUA